rnacentral:rRNA from 1 species
ACGGAAGGCAGCAGUGGGGAAUAUUGCACAAUGGGCGCAGGCCUGAUGCAGCGAUGCCGCGUGAGGGAAGAAGGUUUUCGGAUUGUAAACCUCUGUCAUCGGGGACGAUAAUGACUGUACCCGAGAAGGAAGCUCCGGCUAACUACGUGCCAGCAGCCGCGGUAAUACGUAGGGAGCGAGCGUUAUCCGGAAUUACUGGGUGUAAAGGGAGUGUAGGCGGGACUGUAAGUCAGAUGUGAAAUAUACCGGCUCAACUGGUAGACUGCAGUUGAAACUGCGGUUCUUGAGUGAAGUAGAGGUAAGCGGAAUUCCUGGUGUAGCGGUGAAAUGCGUGGAUAUUAGGAGGAACAUCGGUGGCGAAGGCGGCUUACUGGGCUUUAACUGACGCUGAGGCUCGAAAGCGUGGGUAGCAAACAGGAUUAGAUACCCUGGUA